rnacentral:rRNA from 1 species
AGUGAACGCUGGCGGUAGGCCUAACACAUGCAAGUCGAACGGCAGCACAGUAAGAGCUUGCUCGUACGGGUGGCGAGUGGCGGACGGGUGAGGAAUACAUCGGAAGCUACUUUUUCGUGGGGGAUGACGGAGGGAAACUUACGCUAAUACCGCAUACGACGUACGGGUGAAAGCAUGGGAUCUUCGGACCUUGCGCGAUUGAAUGAGCCGAUGUCGGAUUAGCUAGUUGGCGGGGUAAAGGCCCACCAAGGCGACGAUCCGUAGCUGGUCUGAGAGGAUGAUCAGCCACACUGGAACUGAGACACGGUCCAGACUCCUACGGGAGGCAGCAGUGGGGAAUAUUGGACAAUGGGCGCAAGCCUGAUCCAGCCAUGCCGCGUGAGUGAAGAAGGCCUUCGGGUUGUAAAGCCCUUUUGUUGGGAAAGAAAAGCAGCAGGUUAAUACCCCGCUGUUCUGACGGUACCCACAGAAUAAGCACCGGCUAACUUCGUG